UUCAUAGUUUGAUUAGCUGAAAAUUAGGAAAUGGCACUCUCUCUUCAAAAUUUCAAGUACAAGCACAGCAAAGAAUCAAGCUACUAUUCUUGUAGGAACAUUGGCUUAUUCCAAAAUUAAAAUGUAUUCAAGGGUCAUGUUAGAGGGAGCAAAAUGGUAUAAAAUAUAGUUUUUUCAGUUACUAUCUAGUUUUAAUUCACAUCUAU
rnacentral:lncRNA from 1 species